rnacentral:rRNA from 1 species
UACAGAGGGGGCAAGCGUUAUUCGGAAUUAUUGGGCGUAAAGGGCGCGUAGGCGGCUUUGCAAGUGACGGGUGAAAGCCCUCGGCUUAACCGAGGAACUGCCUUUGAUACUGGAGAGCUUGAGUCCGGAAGAGGUGAGUGGAACUCCGAGUGUAGAGGUGAAAUUCGUAGAUAUUCGGAAGAACACCAGUGGCGAAGGCGGCUCACUGGUCCGGUACUGACGCUGAUGUGCGAAAGCGUGGGGAGCAAACAGG